rnacentral:rRNA from 1 species
UACGUAGGAUGCGAGCGUUGUUCGGAAUUACUGGGCGUAAAGAGUACGUAGGUGGUAUAUUAAGUCUGCUAUUAAAGACCGGAGCUUAACUCCGGGAAUGUAGCGGAAACUGAUAAACUAGAGGACAGUAGAGGAAGCCGGAAUUCUCAGUGUAGCGGUGAAAUGCGUAGAUAUUGGGAAGAACACCAGCGGCGAAAGCGGGCUUCUGGGCUGUUACUGACGCUGAGGUACGAAAGCGUGGGGAGCAAACGGG